GGGAGGCAGCAGUGAGGAAUAUUGCACAAUGGGCGCAAGCCUGAUGCAGCAACGCCGCGUGCCCGAUGAAGGCCUUCGGGUCGUAAAGGGCUUUUCUGACUGAAAAGAGUGGAUUGUAAGUCAGGAAUAAGUGUCGGCUAACUACGUGCCAGCAGCCGCGGUAAAACGUAGGACGCAAGCGUUAUCCGGAGUUACUGGGCGUAAAGCGCGAGCAGGCGGCCCUGUAAGUCUGAUGUGAAAGCGCCCGGCUCAACCGGGCGAGGCCAUUGGAAACUUCAGGGCUGGAGGGCAGUAGAGGCAGGCGGAAUUCCGGGUGGAGUGGUGAAAUGCGUAGAGAUCCGGAGGAACACCAGAGGCGAAGGCGGCCUGCUGGGCUGCACCUGACGCUGAGCCGCGAAAGCUAGGGGAGCGAACGGGAUUAGAUACCCUGGUAGC
rnacentral:rRNA from 1 species